rnacentral:lncRNA from 1 species
AGCCGGCAAAGAAAACCCUUUUUCUAUUUGUAAAAUUUUAUAUCAUAUUAUCAACAUUAAAUAUAUAAAAUUUGGUUGUUAGUGUAAAUAUAUUGAUUAAUUCUUUAAUUUUCACUAUCUAAUAUACUCUUAUAAAGUUGUGAGUUCCGAAUCUCGUAAACAACGUAUUACAAUUAUAAAGCCAUAUGACUUAAGUUUUUUUUAGAAACUAAGCCAUAUGACUUAAGUUAAAAGAAGUACUAGAACUGUUUGGCGCAAUUUUUUCUUUUAUAAUUUAAG